rnacentral:tRNA from 1 species
UCCCUGGUGGCUCAGAGGUUAAAGUGUCUGCCUCCAAUGCGGGAGACCUGGGUUUGAUCCCUGGUUUGGGAA